AACGAACGCUGGCGGCAUGCCUAACACAUGCAAGUCGAACGAGACCUUCGGGUCUAGUGGCGCACGGGUGCGUAACGCGUGGGAACCUGCCCUUAGGUUCGGAAUAACUCCCCGAAAGGGGUGCUAAUACCGGAUAAUGUCUUCGGACCAAAGAUUUAUCGCCUUUGGAUGGGCCCGCGUUGGAUUAGCUAGUUGGUAGGGUAAAAGCCUACCAAGGCGACGAUCCAUAGCUGGUCUGAGAGGAUGAUCAGCCACACUGGGACUGAGACACGGCCCAGACUCCUACGGGAGGAAGCAGGAAUGAAUAUUGGACAAUGGGCGAGAGCCUGAUCCAGCAAUGCCGCGUGAGUGAUGAAGGCCUUAGGGUUGUAAAGCUCUUUUACCCGGGAUGAUAAUGACAGUACCGGGAGAAUAAGCGCCGGCUAACUCCGUG
rnacentral:rRNA from 1 species